CACAAUCUUCUUCAGUGCUCUCUUCUCUCUCUCUCUUUCUCUCCUCCUCUGGGCUUGUGCUGGGUCAUGUAACUGCAAUAUAUCAUAGAUGACACAGUCUUGUCUUCACUUCUCUCUCUUUAUCUUUCUUUUCAGUACACUCACUUUUCUUCUUUUCUUUUGUCUAUCUCAUCUGUCUUUUUUCUGUUGUUGAAAGUGCAGACAGUUCUCAGAUCAACUAAGAGAGCUAUCUCUCUUCAUUCACUAUAAAGCAUUUCAGACACAGCAGCAGCAGUCCUCUCAGAAACCACACUAUAGCUUCACCAUGAAUGGCUAUACAUCAGAUCAGAAAUGAAUGCACAGCUCAGAAAAAUCCUUUUCAAUGAGCUGAGUCUUCUCAAGAGUUGUCAUCUGAAUUCUGUUUUCUCUUUCUCUGUGUACAUAGAAAUCUCUUCAGCAUAGCACAUCUCCAUGCCCUUUGGGAGGCUUCUGAAACACGGGUGCUGCCCGUGUUUUCUUCAGAACAUUAAACCAAUACAAACAAAC
rnacentral:sRNA from 1 species